rnacentral:rRNA from 1 species
UGGGGAAUAUUGCGCAAUGGGGGCAACCCUGACGCAGCAACGCCGCGUGCGGGACGACGGCCUUCGGGUUGUAAACCGCUUUCAGCAGGGAAGAUAGUGACGGUACCUGCACAAGAAGCCCCGGCUAACUACGUGCCAGCAGCCGCGGUAAUACGUAGGGGGCGAGCGUUAUCCGGAUUCAUUGGGCGUAAAGCGCGCGCAGGCGGCUCUUCAAGCGGAACCUCUAACCCCGGGGCUCAACCUCGGGCCGGGUUCCGAACUGGAGGGCUCGAGUGCGGUAGAGGCAGGCGGAGUUCCCGGUGUAGCGGUGGAAUGCGCAGAUAUCGGGAAGAACACCGAUGGCGAAGGCAGCCUGCUGGGCCGGCACUGACGCUGAGGCGCGAAAGCUAGGGGAGCGAACAGG